AACAGCAACAACACCAGCCAACUGGUAAAAGUCUGCAUAUGAGAGGAUGGGGAACUGCUGCUUGAUGGGCUCCAAUAGCCUAACAGCGAUGUCGAGGCCAUUGUUGGCGCCAUGGGCGAGCUCACUAGAGAACCUUAUAGUUCCAAAAGGACCACCGGUCUUGGUUUUAUGGUCAAAGGUUCCAGCAGAGUGCCAUGCAAGACGAAGAAUUAGAGGAGCACAGUUCUUCUCAGCGAUGAGUCCUCUGAGUUUUCUCUUAGCCUUUUCAAUGGCCUUCUGAUAUUCCUCACUUACAGUAGGGUAGCACUUUACCAUGGUGAUGAAACUUGGAAAAAAUGGGAGGAUUUAGAAAUGGACGAAGUUGGAACACUUUGGGCACGAG
rnacentral:misc_RNA from 1 species